CGGAGUAACUUCGCGAAUGAGUAAGGCGCUGAUCUGCAACGAAUACUAAUUCAUACUGCAAAUGUUGCAAUAAAUACCUCAUUGCUUCUCGCAAGAGGAACGUGUCUAGGAAGAUUUUGCCAGAUUCCUGCAUCAAUUGUACAAAGAAUUGCGCAAAGGUAGCAAAAUUGCAGGAAAAAAUAAAGGAAAAAACCAUUAGACGAUUAAGACAACAAAAUGCACGUCUAGUUUCAUAUUUCAACGAUAUGGCCGGAAAGAUCGAACAAUUUAAGGUGGAACUAAAGAACUUGACUGAGAAGUCACUGGAAAAA